rnacentral:lncRNA from 1 species
GGACUUCCCUAUCUUCUUCCCCAAUAAUUGGGUCGCAUUUUUCCUUACGACCUGCUGGCUGCCGGUAGGCCUGCCCUUCCGCCUGGCAGGCCCAGAGUGGAUUCCCUGGGCCGCAGUGGCCUGGACGAUGGCCGGGUCUGAUAGCGGCAGGCGGCCGCGAUGAUUUGCGGGAUUCUCGGCAUGGCACGGCCAGCCUGCCCGAGCCACGGGAGGCGCAGCCAGCCCACCACUCACGGCAAGCAGGCGGCCGAGCGCCCUUCGAGAAGGUAGGCGACGGUACGCGCGGAACAAAAGCAGUCCCCCAGAUCCUGUGGACCGGGUGCAAGCUCCCGGCUUGCAACUCAGGCCACUCCAGGGGAAGGGGCAGUACCCGACCCAGGCGAUACCCCCGAGAGCCGGAGAGGGAGAUGGGGUUGCGGGAGACCUCGGGUUUCCUGAAGGAAGUCCGCCUUUAACUCACACCUAUUUUUCGCGAUUUCUCUCAGGCUAAUUAACCAAGGGACCCCGCAAAGUUGUCUGAAGUCGCCGCCGUAAGGCUAAGUAAGUGGGCUGCCCACUCCCCGGCUCAGGGGCAAAGGGGAAAGCCCACUUGUCAAUUUCUGUUCGGGUUUCAAAGAGCCAUUGCACGGAGGUUUAGUCCUGUCCGAGGGCACUACUGUGGCGGCGCGCAGAAGCGGCCCAGUGGAGCCAGGCGGCGACGUUUCUCCUCCUAGGCCUCCCAGCGUGGACCUCUGUGUCCUCACGGCCACCAGCUUGUGGCCUGAGAGUUGCUCCUUCCAGUGCUGCGCAAACUAGAGGUGGUUGUAAAUGGGGAUUAGGACAUGACGGAGAUGGGUCUCAAUUUGGGGAAGUGAAUAGAGUUUUCCUUUUUUUCUUUUUUAACAAUAAAAACAAAGAGGGAGUGUGACCCUCCCCUUAGAGAGGUCAGGUCUAGGGUAAGAAGUGAGGCACCUUCCAUCUCCCACUGACUAGGAUGAAGUCUUUUUUAUUGUUGUUCCGUUCUCAGAGACUUAAGUCACCAUGCUCCAGGGCAGAUACUCCCCCACCAAUCUUUCCCAGGUUUAAAGCUACAGGGCAGUUGAUGGACGACAACUAGAGGCUGCAACUUAUCAGUGACUGCCUGCGUUUGUGUUGGAGGCUGGGUGUGCGCUGCGGUGCGCGUGUGAGUGGAUCUUUUAAGACCUUUGUCUGAGCCGGGCAGAGGCACAAGUGCCACCUGACGCUUGGGGCAGAUUCCUCGUCCUGUUCUUGCAAAGAUGCCAAAUCAGGAGAGUGUCAAGAUUUCAACCGCAGACCUAAAAAAAGUGUCUCCAUGUUUUUAAAAGUAUCAGACAACCACCUCCACACACCCCUCCGUCUCCCCUUCCACCUGGAACAUUGUUCUUUUUAAUAACCAGGUUUAGCAAACUGCUAUACUGCGCCUGUGCUUUCCUGCAGCCCUCCGCUGUACCAGCUGAGCCCUGUACAGAAUCUGAGCGUCAGAGUUGCAGACCCAACCUUGCCACCUUGCAAAUCAUCCCUUCUCUGGAGGCCUCAGGAUUUUAGUUGAUCAAACCAACACCAACAUUCAUUGGGUCCCUUUGCAACCCUAACAUUUAAUGAGACUUGGUAAUUGUCAUCCGUUCGCCAAGGAGGUUGGGGAUGAACUUGGGGGCAUUUUCUUGUUUAUUUUUCAUUGAGACAAAGGAGUGUGCUGUCCCCACCUCCGCCCCCAGACAAGGACAGGGUUCCUACAUCAGCUGGGUCUAAAAUAAGGAAAAGCGAGUGCUGCCGCAGAGGGGACUUUCCGGGAAGGGGGUCACAGGAACCCCAAGGCCACACAGCUCCAGACACUCUGCCGGAGCUCUAGGGGAGCUCACCCCUGCGCGGCGGGACCUCCCCCAUCGGGUUGCCCCUUCAAUCUGCAGCCGCGCGGAGGCAGGCCCCGGGAAAGGCAGUCGGCGCUCGGUGCUCGCACUGCGCCUCGGCGGGCGGAAACUCACAAGUGUCCUCAACGUGCUAAACAAACCAUCAGGGCCCCGCAUCGCCUGGCGCAAUUGGAAUAACAAAUGCGACGCACGCAAAUUGUCCACCUCGUGUUGCUAAGCGAUUGUUUGUCGGCCCCGCACGCACAGCUCAGCAUGGGAGGACCGCGAGCGUCCAGAGGCAGCCGGCGAGCGCUUAGGUCGGAAAUGCAGUAAACAUGCCGCUGAUUUUCCCUAUUAUCACCCAAACACGAUUUCACACAAAGCAAUCACCACGCAGAAGUCUAUGAAAAUGUGUUUGUUGAGGAGUCACUCGCCCCAGUAAUAGUCCUCAUUUUUAAGAUAUUAAAGAAUAGCUCAGCGGAUUCCACAUGCAUAAGGUCUAUUUGCCGUUCGGCAUCUGUCACGGCGCUUUUGCACUGCGGUCAUCACUAAAUUGAUUCAUAGAGUGUAGAUUAAAUUGCUUCUCUGAUUUAAAACAGUGUCCAACUUUGGAGUAUGCGUGUGAGUAUCUUCUCCCGCCCCAAGGUAUUUUU